ACUCCUACGGGAGGCAGCAGUGGGGAAUUUUGGACAAUGGGCGAAAGCCUGAUCCAGCAAUGCCGCGUGAGCGAAGAAGGCCUUCGGGUUGUAAAGCUCUUUUGUCAGGGAAGAAACGGUGAGAGCUAAUAUCUCUUGCUAAUGACGGUACCUGAAGAAUAAGCACCGGCUAACUACGUGCCAGCAGCCGCGGUAAUACGUAGGGUGCAAGCGUUAAUCGGAAUUACUGGGCGUAAAGCGUGCGCAGGCGGUUUUGUAAGUCUGAUGUGAAAUCCCCGGGCUCAACCUGGGAAUUGCAUUGGAGACUGCAAGGCUAGAAUCUGGCAGAGGGGGGUAGAAUUCCACGUGUAGCAGUGAAAUGCGUAGAUAUGUGGAGGAACACCGAUGGCGAAGGCAGCCCCCUGGGUCAAGAUUGACGCUCAUGCACGAAAGCGUGGGGAGCAAACAGGAUUAGAAACCCGUGUAGUCCCA
rnacentral:rRNA from 1 species